rnacentral:rRNA from 1 species
CCUACGGGAGGCAGCAGUGGGGAAUAUUGCACAAUGGGGGAAACCCUGAUGCAGCGACGCCGCGUGAGUGAAGACGUAUUUCGGUAUGUAAAGCUCUAUUAGCAGGGAAGAAAAUGACGGUACCUGAUUAAGAAGCCCAGGCUAACUACGUGCCAGCAGACGUGGUAAUACGUAGGGGGCAAGCGUUAUCCGGAUUUACAGGGUGUAAAGGGAGGGUAGACGGCAGCACAAGUCUGGAGUGAAAUGCCGGGGCUUAACCCCGGAACUGAUUUGGAGACUGUGCAGUUAGAGUGCAGGCGAGGUAAGUGGAAUUCCUAGUGUAGCGGUGAAAUGCGUAGAUAUUAGGAGGAACGCC